AAUUUCCUGGAAACAGGAGAGUGCUUUCAUUAGAGAGAACCUGGAGACAGGGUGCUGCAUGGCUGUCGUCAGCUCGUGUCGUGAGAUGUUGGGUUAAGUCCCGCAACGAGCGCAACCCUUGCCUUUAGUUGCCAGCAGUUCGGCUGGGCACUCUAAAGGGACUGCCGGUGUCAAACCGGAGGAAGGUGGGGAUGACGUCAAGUCCUCAUGGCCUUUAUGGCCAGGGCUACACACGUACUACAAUGGCCGGUACAAAGGGCAGCGACAUUGCGAGAUGGAGCGAAUCCCGAAAAGCCGGUCUCAGUCCGGAUUGGAGUCUGCAACUCGACUCCAUGAAGUUGGAAUCGCUAGUAAUCGUGGAUCAGCAUGCCACGGUGAAUACGUUCCCGGGCCUU
rnacentral:rRNA from 1 species